rnacentral:rRNA from 1 species
GACGAACGCUGGCGGCGUGCUUAACACAUGCAAGUCGAACGAUGAACCGGAGCUUGCUCUGGGGAUUAGUGGCGAACGGGUGAGUAACACGUGGGCAACCUGCCCCAGACACCGGGAUAACCAUUCGAAAGGAUGGCUAAUACCGGAUACGACCACUUCGGGCAUCCGAUGGUGGUGGAAAGGAUUCUGGUCUGGGAUGGGCCCGCGGCCUAUCAGCUUGUUGGUGGGGUAAUGGCCUACCAAGGCGACGACGGGUAGCCGGCCUGAGAGGGCGACCGGCCACACGGGGAAUGAGACACGGCCCAGACUCCUACGGGAGGCAGCAGUGGGGAAUAUUGCGCAAUGGGCGAAAGCCUGACGCAGCGACGCCGCGUGAGGGACGAAGGUCUUCGGAUUGUAAACCUCUUUCAGCAGGGAUGAAGCGAAAGUGACAGUACCUGCAGAAGAAGCACCGGCUAACUACGUGCCAGCAGCCGCCGUAAUAC